rnacentral:tRNA from 1 species
GCGGGUGUAGCUCAAAAUGGAUAGAGCGGCUGGACAUUACACAGCCAGGUUGGGGGUUCGAGCCCCUCCGCCCGUG